rnacentral:misc_RNA from 1 species
UCAAAUUGAGUAAAAUCAAUUUAGCAUAGAAACAGUUUUUGGCACACCCAAUGGAACUGAUUCUACUUUCUAUUCUCUUCAUUCACAUUCAAUUCGAAGUUUUCACAAAAAAAUUUUAGACAUCAUAUGCCUAAAACAAGGAUUUGUUAUGAAAAAUAAGCUAUAGGGUCUAGCCUUAAUGGAGUUGUUGAUGAAGCUAAACUUAAUAAAUAAACACAAGAUAUUGAGUCACCUUCAGCAUAAAAAGUGACCCCAAUUGCAUUUAACGUAACUAGCAUUGGCACUCAAAUUGCUCAAUAAGUGACUGAUCAAAUUGAGGCUAGCAUCAAAGCUAUUUUUGAGACUAGCUUCAAGUCAUUUCUAUUCAGCUGGAAUGAGUUAGCUAAGGCUCCAUGGGAAAUCUAUUAGAAGCUAGACUGCGUAGGGGCCAAGCGACAAUCUUAAGUAGUCACACAGUGACUAACCAACUAGAGUCCAAUGAGGUGUAAGAAACACUAUCCCAGGAGAAGCAAUGCCACCAACCACCUUAAAGUAGAGAAACAACUCCAAUGCCUACUCCUACACAAGUAGUAAGGUUAUUCAGUGGUCGAUAGGAAGGUAACUUCUACACCACUACCAAUCCUACCACUCACCCACGUGUAUAAUGCUGUAAAUGUAAGUAUUGUCUUGAAUAAUGUGAAUAAUGCUAGUAUUAACUAUGUGGCACCACCACCACUUGUUUAUGAACCCAUAUUACAUCACCUUAAGCCUCAUGUUGACCGUGAAGCACUUAGGACAAUUAUUGAAGAGUUGUACGGACCUUACCUUCAUCAGAUAAAUUGUCUUAAGUUUCAUAAACCUUAUCCAAACUAGGUGGAUAGGAAUAAUCCCUUCCCUAAAGGUUAUAAAAUACCUAAGUUCAUUUUGUUCUCAGGAAAUGGGUUACAAUCUACUUUAGAUAUUGGUAGGUUUACUAUGCAAUGUGGUGAGCUUACCAUUUAUGAGAAUUAUGACCUGUUUAAAUUAAGAUUGUUUUUCAAUUCCCUAACUACAGUUGCUUUUUCUUAGUAUGCUUUAUUGCCCAGAGAUUUUGUACACACUUAGCAAGACAUGGAUAAGUUGAGAGAAGGG